UAGGGAAUCUUCCGCAAUGGGCGAAAGCCUGACGGAGCAACGCCGCGUGAGUGAUGAAGGUCUUCGGAUCGUAAAACUCUGUUAUUAGGGAAGAACAAAUGUGUAAGUAACUAUGCACGUCUUGACGGUACCUAAUCAGAAAGCCACGGCUAACUACGUGCCAGCAGCCGCGGUAAUACGUAGGUGGCAAGCGUUAUCCGGAAUUAUUGGGCGUAAAGCGCGCGUAGGCGGUUUUUUAAGUCUGAUGUGAAAGCCCACGGCUCAACCGUGGAGGGUCAUUAGAAACUGGAACACUUGAGUGCAGAAGAGGAAAGUGGAAUUCCAUGUGUAGCGGUGAAAUGCGCAGAGAUAUGGAGGAACACCAGUGGCGAAGGCGACUUUCUGGUCUGUAACUGACGCUAAUGUGCGAAGGCGUGGGGAUCAAACAGG
rnacentral:rRNA from 1 species